AUUGAACGCUGGCGGCAGGCCUAACACAUGCAAGUCGAGCGGAUGAAGGGAGCUUGCUCCUGGAUUCAGCGGCGGACGGGUGAGUAAUGCCUAGGAAUCUGCCUGGUAGUGAGGGAUAACGUCCGGAAACGGGCGCUAAUACCGCAUACGUCCUGAGGGAGAAAGUGGGGGAUCUUCGGACCUCACGCUAUCAGAUGAGCCUAGGUCGGAUUAGCUAGUUGGUGGGGUAAAGGCCUACCAAGGCGACGAUCCGUAACUGGUCUGAGAGGAUGAUCAGUCACACUAGAACUGAGACACGGUCCAGACUCCUACGGGAGGCAGCAGUGGGGAAUAUUGGACAAUGGGCGAAAGCCUGAUCCAGCCAUGCCGCGUGUGUGAAGAAGGUCUUCGGAUUGUAAAGCACUUUAAGUUGGGAGGAAGGGCAGUAAGUUAAUACCUUGCUGUUUUGACGUUACCAACAGAAUAAGCACCGGCUAACUUCGUG
rnacentral:rRNA from 1 species